CGUCGCCUGGUCCUCAGCACUAGUAGCCCUCCAUCGUCACCUGGUUCCCAGCCCAGUAGCCCUCCAUCGUCUUCAACUUCUCAACACCAGUAGCCCUCUCAUCGUCUUCAUCGUCGCCUGGUCCUCAACACCAGUAGCCCUCCAUCGAACCCAGAUUGUGACACAGAAGUUAAACCA